UACGUAGGGUGCGAGCGUUGUCCGGAAUUAUUGGGCGUAAAGAGCUCGUAGGCGGUCUGUCGCGUCGGAUGUGAAAAUCAGGGCUCAACCCUGGACCUGCAUUCGAUACGGGCAGACUAGAGUUCGGCAGGGGAGACUGGAAUUCCUGGUGUAGCGGUGAAAUGCGCAGAUAUCAGGAGGAACACCGGUGGCGAAGGCGGGUCUCUGGGCCUGUCCUGACGCUCAGGCGCGAAAGCUAGGGGAGCAAACAGG
rnacentral:rRNA from 1 species